UGUCUGACAAACCGAAACCAGAACAAUAAAAUGUACCUGAAUUUGCUUCCAGACUGACUUCCUCAGCCCCAGAUGGGCCGUGGCCAGCUUGACAGACAAGAACUCUGUCCUCGGUGGGAUUCUUGCUGCAACAAGUAAUUUUUUUUUUUAACUACAUCAUAUCAUUUUGGGAUGAGAAAACGUAGACAAUGAAGCCGUGCACAGCUGCUUUCAGAACUCACUCCUUCAGGCUGUCUGACCGCCUCCGGUCUCUUCCCCAGGAUGAACUUCGACUCCGAGAUCUCCUCUGGCUGGGGCUCCUGGAUCGCCUGUGGUUACUUGGAGAGCACAGGUGGCGUUCUUUGGACUUCAUUUGGCCUGGUGCUGGAAUACGAAGAACAAGGCUUCUAAUGGUUCCCUACCUGAAAACCACAGUUGCUGCCACUCAGUCGAUAUCACUUUCUGAAGAACUUUAAGUAAAACGCUACUGUUGCUGAGGCCCAUUCUGUUAAGUAAUCGAGAGCUAAUGGUCAUUUACACUUACUUUUGCGAUCACCUUGUGCAAACUGUAUUUCAAUUUGCCGGCCACAUACCCACUUCCUAUUGAGGUUAUAAAGGGCAUCUUCAGCAUCUCGAACAUCUUCAAACAUGAUCAGCUGUUAAGGACACUUUGGACAUCAGAUGGAUUUCUCUGUGUAACAGCUUUAGCUGUCCUGGAACUUGCUUUAUAGACCAGGCCGGCCUCGUACAUUAAAUUUGGGCCAUAAGCACUGUCUGAACAGCACAGAGGAAAUUGCAAGGCCUAAGGUGCGCAUCCUGAGAUGAGACAGCCCCAGUUCCUCCGGAAGGUUAGUGGGCGGCGUCUGCAGGACGCAGUGACAACAAGGCCGGGACCAUCACUGCCACCACAGCCAGCACCUCGACACCCGGCCAGCAUCCUGACAUCACGACAGCACCCAGUCAGCACCCCAACACCCCGACAGCCCGUAGUCCGGUGUCCCGACACCAGUCCAGCACCCCAACCCCCGACUGGUACCCGGACACCUGGCUGGCACUCUGACAGCCUGCAACUCAGCACCGGGGUACCGGGCCAGCAUCCGACAGCCAGACAGCCCACUGCCCAGCCCGCACCCCGACACCUCGCCGCCCCGGCCCGUACUCGCGCAGGGUCCCGUCUUGGUUCACCU